AUACGGAGGGUGUAAGCGUUAAUCGGAAUUACUGGGCGUAAAGCGUACGUAGGCGGUUCGUUAAGUUAGAUGUGAAAGCCCCGGGCUUAACCUGGGAACUGCAUUUAAAACUGGCGAACUAGAGUUGAGUAGAGGGGAGUGGAAUUUCAGGUGUAGCGGUGAAAUGCGUAGAGAUCUGAAGGAACACCAGUGGCGAAGGCGACUCCCUGGACUCGAACUGACGCUGAGGUACGAAAGCGUGGGUAGCAAACGGGAUUAGAAACCCUAGUAGUCC
rnacentral:rRNA from 1 species